rnacentral:rRNA from 1 species
CCUACGGGUGGCAGCAGUGAGGAAUAUUGGUCAAUGGGCGGAAGCCUGAACCAGCCAAGUAGCGUGCAGGAUGACGGCCCUACGGGUUGUAAACUGCUUUUAUACGGGAAUAACGCCCCUUACGUGUAGGGCUUUGCAUGUACCGUAUGAAUAAGGACCGGCUAAUUCCGUGCCAGCAGCCGCGGUAAUACGGAGGGUCCGGGCGUUAUCCGGAUUUAUUGGGUGUAAAGGGAGCGUAGGCGGCAUGUCAAGCGUGCUGUGAAAUGUCCGGGCUCAACCCGGGCCUUGCAGCGGGAACUGGAGUGCUGGAGUGCGCGGAAGGCAGGCGGAAUUCGUCGUGUAGCGGUGAAAUGCUUAGAUAUGACGAAGAACCCCGAUUGCGAAGGCAGCUUGCUGCAGUGGAACUGACGCUGAUGCUCGAAAGCGUGGGUAUCGAACAGGAUUAGAUAUCCUAGUAGUC